GGACUACUAGGGUUUCUAAUCCCGUUCGCUACCCUGGCUUUCGCAUCUCAGCGUCAGACACAGUCCAGAAAGGCGCCUUCGCCACUGGUGUUCCUCCCAAUAUCUACGCAUUUCACCGCUACACUGGGAAUUCCCCUUUCCUCUCCUGCACUCAAGCCUAACAGUUUCCAGCGCCAUACGGGGUUGAGCCCCGCAUUUUCACGCUCGACUUAUUAAGCCGCCUACAUGCUCUUUACGCCCAAUAAUUCCGGACAACGCUCGCCACCUACGUAUUACCGCGGCUGCUGGCACGUAGUUAGCCGUGGCUUCCUCGUUUACUACCGUCAUUGCAAUGCAUUGUUCACACACUGCACGUUCGUCAUAAACAACAGAGCUUUACAGACCGAAAUCCUUCAUCACU
rnacentral:misc_RNA from 1 species